AGGCCCUUUUAAAACCUUGAGCAACCAAUUCCGCGCGUAGGGCUGCGUUUGAUGCCAUAAAUUUCUGUUUUUACUUUUAACGUGCAUCAGUCCAGACAGCUGAUUGCACCGAUUACACCCAUACACAUUCAAUCAUGAGCAUACUACCCAAGAAAUUCUAAUUAUGCUACACACACUACUUGAAAAUCCUUCCAUAGAAUACAGAUUUGAAUUUUUAACGAUUUUUUUCUUGGUGGUGUUAGGAACCGAAGGAAUCAAGCCCCAACCACCAGUUAGUUGAAAAAGUACAGCAGACACAGCAACAUCACCAGUGCAAUCGGCCAGUAAAUCGCCAUUUUGUAUCAGUACCUCCACCCUCCAGAACUAAAUCUCCAGAAUGGGGAAAACAUCAGAUUUUACAAUUAGACAAGAACGUACAGGAGAGUGGCUUGAAAUCUUCGAACCAAUCUUAGCUCCCACAAAGCAUGAAAUUGAAGAAUUUUCCGGAGCUGCAUAUGUUGUGUCAAGGCAGAAUUUCUAUACAAACUACCAGGUACCAGGGUCAGGGAGCCAAGUGGAGACAGAACAACAGCGACUCGAAACGGCAAAAGACCAGCAGUUUACCGGAGGGCUUAAAUUGGUGGACAAACAAGCAGCUUAUUUUAUAAAAGGCUCCAGUGAAAAUUCUCUUGUGAAUCGUGUUAAUGUUGACGAGCAGAGCCACCGCAUUCGCAUUUACGACCAAGUAACAGGCGGAUUGGUUCCAGAAGAUUUCGAGAUGCAGUUGCGUGUAGAUCGUGGCCCAACUUCAAUUUUAAAAAUUAGGAAAAAUUUGAAACAAAACCAUCUUUGUGAAAACCCUUUAUUGUGUUAGGAACAUUUAAAUGUUUAAGAAAU